rnacentral:rRNA from 1 species
GUGCCUACGGGAGGCAGCAGUGGGGAAUAUUACACAAUGGGGGAAACCCUGAUGCAGCGACGCCGCGUGAGUGAAGAAGUAUUUCGGUAUGUAAAGCUCUAUCAGCAGGGAAGAUAAUGACGGUACCUGACUAAGAAGCCCCGGCUAACUACGUGCCAGCAGCCGCGGUAAUACGUAGGGGGCAAGCGUUAUCCGGAUUUACUGGGUGCAAAGGGUGCGUAGGUGGCAGGGAAAGUCAGAUGAGAAAGCCCGGG